CACACACACACACACACACACACACUCAUUCACUCAUAUAUGUUUGUAUGCAGUUGUGAUUGUGUACAUGCCAUCAUUUUUCCCUUCUUAUAGUUUUCCCACUGUUUUUAAGCUGUUCUGUAUCAAAUCUUUGUUUGGUUAAAAUUUAUUAUUUUGAUUCUGAUAGUAUGGAAAUUGGGUCCAAAUUUUGUUUGAAAAUGGAGUUUUUUGUGUUGGGUUCAUGUGUACCUCAUAAGUUUGUUUCAAAAGAAUGGACAUACCUGAAAGGAUGUGGUCCACAAAAUAAGUGGUCUUGCCAUACCUAAAACAUUUACUGUAAAUGUGACUACUAAUUGUGAUUUUCUUUGUCUACACCUAGUCUAAUGCGUUUGUUUCAGCAACUAUUAGGCCGCGAGAAGGUAAUUUUUUCGUGGGCUUUACAACGUCGUCGAACUCGAUCACAAGCACAUCUACUAUCUAAAUGGCAAAAACUUACUUUGUAGUGGGGUAAUACCCAUCACCGUACCACAUCACAGUUACAUGUCCAACCUCGACGUUCGUCUAUUAAAAAUUUGAAAAAUCCACCUAGACAUCAUUUCGAACAGGGCUUGACGUCAGGCGCACCUAAACGAACACAACGACAAGGUAAUCAAUUCUUAAAAAAACAAAUUUACCUUUUAUUCUUUAUCUACCGGAUUUUAUUUCUUUUACACUAAAAUAUUUUUUCGGUAGAGGUUAUGAAUGUUGUGCUUACCCCCCGUCCAUUGGACGUCCACUCAUACAUCAAUUAGAAAUUGGCUCGACGUCAAACCCACCUAAACGAACAAAACUACAAUGUAUUCAAAUCUAUAUAAUAAGGAAACUUUUUUAUUAUAUUAUUUUUCAGAAAUUUUUUUAUUAAUACUACAAUUUUGCCCUUGCCUCUAGCAUGUACUUUUUUUCUCAUGUUAUGUUAGGUAUCUUGAGUGCUAACAAUUUUGUACAUAAAUGACCGACACUUUAUUAUUAUUAAUGCUUUGUUGAUCCAUUCUUUGGU
rnacentral:lncRNA from 1 species